rnacentral:rRNA from 1 species
AUGUGCCUUUCACGAAGAUGUCACUCCAGAACCUUUCUACACAACAUAGUAGGAAGCUUCCUCGGUUCAUCUCAGAAUCUGCCUUUCACAAAGAGGUCACUACUGAUUCAUGUGUUUGUGCGACAGUACAUGAGGCUACAAUUCGACCGUGAGUCGGAUGAGAGCUACCGGGAGAAGAGGAUACAGAUUAGCGGAGCAGUCAUGAGAGGAAGUAUUGCCAUUGAACAACAUGCAAAUAAGGUUUACACCAGGAAAAUGUUUGAACAAUUUGGUGAGAACCUUUUCAAGGGUCGGGCGUACCAGGUUGAGGAAAUUGUGAAGCACAUUGCAAGACACAACGAUGCCGAGAAAUGUGAGAAGUGGAGAGUGGUUGAUUACAAGGUGACCAUGUUGGAUGACGGCGAGUGGUUCGAGUGUGAAUGCGGGCAAUUCACCCACAUGGGGAUGGUUUGUUGCCAUGCUUUGAAGGUGAUGGGCUAUGUUGUCGUGAAGGAGAUGCUGAAGCGGCACAUCCUCAAGAGAUGGACGAAAGAUGCUAGGGACAUCCUGCCCCGGCAUCUUGCUCACUUCAAAAGAAACCAGGUCGUGAACAAAUCUUUCACCUGCCGCAGCUCGACUCUCUACCUACACGCCAUGGAGCUGGUUAGGCUUGGGGAUUCAUCCGUCAUGACAUAUGAACUCGUACUGGGUCGCUCGAAGGAUAUGAUUGCGGAGGUAAUCACCGCUAGCUGA